rnacentral:lncRNA from 1 species
UCUAACAUAAAUAAGUUGAUAAAAUAAAAUAAACAAGUAGCACGUAACUCCUUCGCCCUUAGGCGAUUCCCCGGGUUAUUUAAUAAUAUUAGAGAGUUAGAGUUACUACAUGUAUUACAAUAGCAAACUAAAAAUGGAGCAAUAGAAAUAUAAUAAUAAACUAAAUCUUGUCCGGAAACCCAUGUCAAGCGACUAUUCAUCUCUUGAGCUUUUAGUUCAAACCUGCUAAACAAAAUACUAAAGGCGAGAGCUACAUAGAUGGAAACACAUAAUUAUUCACAACCAACACACGAGUUUCAGACGAAUUCAAACAUAUCAUACCACACAUUGAUAGAAAGGACUAAUACAAGACUAAUAUAAAUACUAAAUAAGAAUACUAACCAGUUAAGCAGAAAAAAUUAUCAGCAAUGGAGACAACAUAAUCCAUCUUUCGACCCAAACACACCAAAUUAGCAAAGAAAGCACUUGAAUGUUUAUAGGAAUCUUAAUUAUUUUAAGAGUAGAGAGCAACAUAUUAUUAGUAUUCAAUUAUAAGCAAUGAAAGAAUGUGAGGGGGUUAAGAAUAAUCAAGGGAGGGGUCCUAUUAAUAUAGUGGGUGAGACGUGAUUUAGAAGGGAAAAAAAAUAUGUUUUGAGGAAUCAAUUAAAUCACAAUUUUCUUAUUUCAAAGGAACGCCAAAAUUAGAGUUAUUUUUAAAUUUUUUACCUAAUAUGAAAACAUUGUAAUAGAUCCAUCAAUUUUAAUUAAGGAAACAGGGACAAUUACUAGCCUUUGGAAACUUAGCUACUUAAGUCCUUCUCAUUUUUUUUAAAAUUUAAGAGAGCCAAACAAGAAAUAAUUAUUUUUUUACCAAUUAUAAUAAAAAAUCUGUCAAGAUUCCAAUUAAACAAAAUGAGACAAGUGAGAAUGACCCAUACAAGGAAAAAGUUACCUAUGCAAUCACAAAAUAAUUUAUUUUUCCUAACAGGGGAGAACCAAAUCAGCCAAAUAUAUGCACACCACAAAUAAAUCAAUCUACACGCAUUUAUCAUGCAUAAACAUAUAGAGUCGUUGUUAGUAACUAAUCCACUAACAAACGCUUCAAAAAUAAACGUUAAAAUUAUAAAUCAUCUAACUAUACUGCAUACCACUAACAUGUAAGUAGAACAAGUCGUCAAAAUGGAAAAUCAAAACAAACUGGAAAAACUCUGGCAAUAGUAAUUAAGAGAAGUAAUUACAGUAGAAGCGAUUUAGGGAAAAUCAAUACUUUUACACUUGGAAGAUCAACAGUCAUGACAAUAUAAGUAGUAUGAAUCCAUUAAGCGAGCUGGAGCAACAAAUUAAUAUAUCCAACCAAGUAUCAAAAUAUUAACGUAUUUCAUAAAAUUUGGAAAUCCCACCUAGCAGUACUAAAAUGAAUUCAAACUAUUCUGAAUAUGCAUAGAACUUCCAUAUCAAAGUCACAUAGCAAAUAAGAAGAAGAAUAAAAUUGCUAAAAGAUGAGAUAUAACUGAUGUACCUGAAUGGAUCUGUUAAAGAUCCAUCUUUUGACCAACUUAAAGGUUUCAAAGGGUUUGGCUAGAGCUUGCCUUGCUCACUGGCUGGAGCUUGUUGGUUUUUGUUGUCGCAACUGCUUCUCUCAACUGCUACUGGUCGUUGAGCGCUGCUGCUCAUUCCUGUUGGGCGCAACUGCUGGAGAAAAGAAAAGAGAGGAGGCGGGGACACUGGCCGCGCUGCUGGUGGUGGUCGCUGCUGCUGCUGUCUAUUGUUGGUCAUCCUUGCUGUAGAAAAGAGAGGAGGAGAGGGGGAGACAGAUAAUAAGAAGGGAGGAUGGAGGAUGGAGUCUUGACGGAUAGAAUGGAGGAAUGAGAGAGAGGGAGAGAAGGAUAGAGAGAGGGGUUGAAAGGCGUCUCACCGGUGUUCACCGUGGAGGAGGAAAAGCAGCGGCGCUGCUUGGAGAGAAGGAAGAGAGAAUAAAAAAGUUUAAGGGUUGGUGGUCUUUUUAGAAUUAAAAUAGGAAAGAAAGUUGGAUAGAUCUGAACCGUUGAUUUAGAUAAAUAGGGUUAAGAUUCGAUCAGGAUCUACUUAAAGAAUGAAUUCUGAGAUUAAAAGAUUAAAUUUUAGAAUCAAAUUGGAUUGAGGAUUGGAA